rnacentral:rRNA from 1 species
CUGCUGCCUUCCGUAGGAGUCUGGUCCGUGUCUCAGUACCAGUGUGGGGGGCCUUCCUCUCAGAACCCCUACGCAUCGUCGCCUCGGUGGGCCGUUACCCCGCCGACUAGCUAAUGCGCCGCAUGCCCAUCCGUGGCCGGGAUUGCUCCCUUUGGCGGCCUUGGGAUGCCCCAAGGCCGCGUUACGCGGUAUUAGACGGGGUUUCCCCCGCUUAUCCCCCUGCCACGGGCAGGUUGCAUACGUGUUACUCACCCGUGCGCCGGUCGCCGGCAACCGG